rnacentral:rRNA from 1 species
AACGAACGCUGGCGGCAUGCCUAACACAUGCAAGUCGAACGAGACCUUCGGGUCUAGUGGCGCACGGGUGCGUAACGCGUGGGAACCUGCCCUUAGGUUCGGCAUAACUCCCCGAAAGGGGUGCUAAUACCGGAUAAUAUCUUCGGACCAAAGAUUUAUCGCCUUUGGAUGGGCCCGCGUUGGAUUAGCUAGUUGGUAGGGUAAAAGCCUACCAAGGCGACGAUCCAUAGCUGGUCUGAGAGGAUGAUCAGCCACACUGGGACUGAGACACGGCCCAGACGCCUACGGGAGGCAGCAGUGGGGAAUAGUGGACAAUGGGCGAAAGCCUGAUCCAGCAAUGCCGCGUGAGUGAUGAAGGCCUUAGGGUUGUAAAGCUCUUUUACCCGGGAUGAUAAUGACAGUACCGGGAGAAUAAGCGCCGGCUAACUCCGUG